UCUCAGAAAUAUUUAUGCACAAAUAUACUUAUAUACGUGCAAGAUGUUUUAACAGUAAAUAUUGAAAUAUAGCGCAAGACUCUUCUCAUAUGAGCCAGACAUGUUUCAAUAUUCUAUGUGCUAAGAGGAUUCUUCCAUGAUUGUGAUUUUGAAUUUUGCAAUGUGAAUGACAGGAAUACUUUCUUGAAUCUAUUUCCUUAGGGCAUUGAGUGAAGGUUGUUCCUUUCAAAUUCACAUAUAACUUGUUGUUAUUUCGGAACUUUUAUUCCUUUCCUUGAGAUAUUAAAGCUGGAGUAUAUAGUUCGUGCUGAGUGAAGGAAAUUUUGCAUCUUAUCAAGACAAUUGCAAACACUCGAGGCAUCAAUGGAUUUAUGAAACGGAAUUUUAUUACUCUACAUGCAGCUCCAUUUAAGGAUACCAACUUCUAUUCUUUUGAAAAAUACAGAGAGCAUCUACUCAAAUUUACUACUAAUGAUUCAAGGCAUCACUAGAUUUUGUAAAAUGAAUUUUGUCAUAUUCUAUGAUUAGCUCUAUGUAAGUCUAUCCACUUCUAUUUUCUUAUGAUAAAUAUUGAAAAGUAUUUAGAAGAUAGUUGUCUGCAAUGUAAAGUUAUUUGUGGAAAGGGAGAAAUUAGUUGUAUUAUUGCACUUUGAAGUUCAUUUGUAUAACUUAUGCAAUGAUCUAUUAGCUUUUACAAUA